AACUGGAAUAUUAUUUUAAGAGCAAAUACAUGUACAUUCCUAAUGUUGCUCGAAUGGGAAUUAUCAAGAAGAAGAAGAAGAAGAAGAAAAAAAAAAAAGGAAAACAAACCCAUGAGAGUUUGGGUUGCUAUUUCUGACCAAGUUUGAAUUGGGAAAUACCAGGAGUCCCAUAGGAAAUCUUAUCUCACCGGAAGACGAUCAUGGUCUCUUGGCCAAAGAAUGGGUGAGACACACCUCAAAUGACAGAAUCCCACAUCAAGCUUUCUCUCCUGGGGAGUUAACCCCCCUGGGGCUAACCCUUCACAAAGGCGGGAUGGAAGCCAGUGGAAAAGUACCCA
rnacentral:lncRNA from 10 species